ACUAUUGCAUGGGGUGCUUGGGGGGGGCGUUGUAUGGGGUGUUUGUGGGGUGCUGUAUGGGGUGCUGGGGGCAUUGCACAGGCGUUGGGACGUUGCUUGGGGUGCUGGGGGGGCAUGGCAGGGGGGAACACUAUUGCACAGGGUGCUGGGGGGGCAUUUUAUGGGGUGCUGGGGGGGGACAUCCCACAGGGGGGUUUGGGGGUCUCGCUGCUGCUCUUUGGCCAGGCCACCAAGGGGCAUUGCAUGGGGUGCUGCUGGGGGGGCUGGGUUACCGCAGGGGUGCUGGGUGCUGAGUUGAGGUGGGGGGGAAAAAGGGGGAGUGGGAUGGGGUCUGGGGGCUGUCUGAGCUCCUAAUGGGAUCACACCACACCACAGCUUCUCCCGGGCACCCCAAUGCCCCCAUACCCAUGUCCCCCAUGGGGUCCCGCACCCUCCCGGCCACCCCGUGGGGACAUGGCGGGGUUCGGCCCCAUGGCACGGGGUGGGGGGGUGGGGGGGCCGUGUCCCGGUGCAGGUUUCAGCCCGUCCAUUCUUAGCCCCUGCCCUUUCGGGGCUGUAACACGAGCGGGGCAGCGGCGCAGGGCCCCUGGCCCCGGUCUGGCCGGUUUGGGGAGCGCGGGGUGACGCGGGGCGGCGGGGUGCGGGCAGGGAGCCCAAACCCACAGCGGGGACCUGGGGGUGCAGCAAUCCUACAGCAAUCCUACAGCAAUCCUACAGCAAUCCUACAGCAAUCCCCCACCUCCGGGCUGUGAGAGCGGGCUGGCCCCCCAAAACCAUCCCCUAAAACCUCCCCUCUGGCACAUGCCCGAUUUUCUCCUCCACCCCGCCGGCAGCAUGUCGACAGGUGAGUGCUCUGCUCGGCUGUCCCUGCGGCCAGCUCCUCGUCCCCUCUGCUUCUGGCCCCUUGGCAGCUGUCCCCCUGUCCCCUACGUCCCCCUUGUGCCAUCCCGUGUCCCCCUUGUCCCCAUCCCCUUGUCCCCAUCCUCUGCGUCCCACUUGUGCCAUCCCGUGUCCCCCUUGUUCCCAUCCCCUUGUGCCAUCCCCUUGUUCCCAUCCCCCGUGCCCCCUUGUGCCACCCUGUCCUCCCCGUCCCUCUUUUACCCAACCCCUUUGCGCCCACCCCCAGUGUCCCCACCCCGUGUCCAUCCCCCGGGUCCCCUUUACGCACCUCCCCUUUUGCAUCUGUCCCCUGUGCCCUCGUAUCCGCCCCCUCUGCCCCCCUCGCACCCGCUC
rnacentral:lncRNA from 1 species